rnacentral:lncRNA from 1 species
CAAGAGCAAGAAAUCACAGAAAUAAAUUAAAUAAAAGUAAUAUCAAUGUAAUAUCAGAUGAACAAAUUCAAUAGAACACAACUCAAUCGAUCGAUCUCUUAAUUCACUUUGCUGCAGCCAUGGCCGAUGCAUGCACAUAGCAUCAAUCCUUAAUUUUUGCAGAGCCAUGCGAGCUAGCAAAGGGAAUUAAUUUGUAAAGCACCUAAAUUAUCUACAGUUUUGAUGAGCUAAUUAAUAUACAAGCCUAUACAUAUGCAAACCAAGUUGAUUUUAAGCUCAUUUCGAAUCUUUUUUUGAUUCGAUUAUUACGCCGUGCAAGCUGCAAGGUCGCGAGGAAGAAACCCUAAUGGCGACCAUGCAUGCAUGGCGCGGUUGUGUCGUCGCCGUCAUCGUCGUCGUUGCUGAUCG